AACGAACGCUGGCGGCAUGCCUAACACAUGCAAGUCGAACGAUUGCCUUCGGGUGAUAGUGGCGCACGGGUGCGUAACGCGUGGGAAUCUGCCCUUAGGUUCGGAAUAACAGCUGGAAACGGCUGCUAAUACCGGAUGAUAUCGCGAGAUCAAAGAUUUAUCGCCUGAGGAUGAGCCCGCGUUGGAUUAGGUAGUUGGUGGGGUAAAGGCCAACCAAGCCGACGAUCCAUAGCUGGUCUGAGAGGAUGAUCAGCCACACUGGGACUGAGACACGGCCCAGACUCCUACGGGAGGCAGCAGUGGGGAAUAUUGGACAAUGGGCGCAAGCCUGAUCCAGCAAUGCCGCGUGAGUGAUGAAGGCCCUAGGGUUGUAAAGCUCUUUUACCCGGGAAGAUAAUGACUGUACCGGGAGAAUAAGCCCCGGCUAACUCCGUG
rnacentral:rRNA from 1 species